rnacentral:rRNA from 1 species
GAAGGCAGCAGUGGGGAAUAUUGGACAAUGGGGGCAACCCUGAUCCAGCGACGCCGCGUGGGUGAAGAAGGCCUGCGGGUUGUAAAGCCCUUUCGGUGGGGAAGAAAAGUUGCGACCUAACACGUCGCGACCUUGACGUAACCCAUUAAAGAAGCACCGGCUAACUCUGUGCCAGCAGCCGCGGUAAUACAGAGGGUGCGAGCGUUAAUCGGAAUUACUGGGCGUAAAGCGCGCGUAGGCGGCUUUGCAAGUCGGGUGUGAAAUCCCCAGGCCUAACCUGGGAACUGCAUUCGAGACUGCAUGGCUAGAGUAUCGGAGAGGGAAGUGGAAUUUCAGGUGUAGCGGUGAAAUGCGUAGAUAUCUGAAGGAACAUCAGUGGCGAAAG